rnacentral:rRNA from 1 species
AGAGUUUGAUCAUGGCUCAGGAUUAACGUUGGUAGUACACACAUCCAAGCAAGUUGAACGGGAUUGGAGCAAUCCAGUCCAGUAGCGAACGGGUGAGUAAUACUUAUCUACUUGCCAAUUAGUGGGGGUAAUCCCGCAUACUCUGAUUUCGGUCAGGAAAGGGCUCCGUAAGGGCCCGCUAGUUGAGAGGGAUAAGGCGUAUUAGCUAGUUGGUGGGGUAAUGGCCUACCAAGGUAAUGAUGCGUAGCCGGCCUGAGAGGGUGAACGGCCACAAGGGAACUGAGACACGGUCCCUACUCCUACGGGAGGCAGAAGGAGGAAACAUCCCGCAAUGGACGCAAGUCUAACGGAGUGAUACUACGUGAAGGAUGAAGGUCUAAGGAUUGUAAACUUCUUUACUAGUAGGUACUGCUUUUGGGCUUGCCUGCUAGCAAAAAGUCACGACUAACUAUGUGCCAGCAGUCGCGGUAAGACAUAGGUGGCGAACGUUAUCCGGAAUUAUUGGGCGUAAAGAGUGCGUAGGUGGUUUAAUAAGUUACUGGUGGGAAAUCGGGGCUCAACCCCGUGGAAGUCAGUAAUACUAUUAAACUAGAGGGUCGGAGAAGUUAACGGAAUUCUAUGUGUAGCGGUAAAAUGCUUAAAUAUAUAGAGGAACACCAAACGGCGAAGGCAGUUAACUAUUCGAUUCCUGACGUUGAGGCACGAAAGCGUGGGGAGCAAGACGGAUUAGAUACCCGAGUAGUCCACGCCCUAAACGAUGAGUACUAGAUAUUGGGAACUAGAUUCUCAGUGUCGCAAGAUAACUCGGUAAGUACUCCGCCUGGGUAGUACGGUCGCAAGACUAAAACUCAAAGGAAUUGACGGGGACUCACACAAGCAGUGGAGCAUGUGGUUUAAUCCGAUAUGACGCGUAGAACCUUACCAGGGCUUGACAUGUUCGGCAAAACUAGGGAAACCUAGCGGAGGUUAUCCGGACACAGGUGUUGCAUGGCCAUCGUCAGUUCGUGUUGUGAAAUGUAUGGUUUAGUCCUAUUAACGAACGAAACCCUUGUGCUUAGUUGCUAACAGGUAAUGCUGAGGACUCUAAGCAGACUGCCAAGGUAACUUGGAGGAAGGAGAGGAUCAAGCUUGGUCGUCAUGGCCCUUAUGCCCUGGGCGACACACGUGCUACAAUGGUUAGUACAAAGCGUUGCUAGCCCGCGAGGGUCCGCUAAUCGCAAAAAACUAACCUCAAUUUGGAUUGAAGGCUGAAACUUGCCUCCAUGAAACUGGAAUUGCUAGUAAUCGUGAAUCAGCCAUGUCACGGUGAAUAUGUCCCUGAGUCCUGUACACACCGCCCGUCAAGUCACGAAAGUCGGUAAUAUCUGAAGCUAGUCUGCAAAGGCUAAUUAGGGUAGGAUCGGUGAUUGGGGCUAAGUCGUAACAAGGUAGCCGUAG